GGCACAGGGCUGGAGGGACACAGGGGUGGCCAAACGGACAAAACCAGUGGCCAAAGGGACAAAAUCAGUGGCCAAAGGGACAAAAUCAGUGGCCAAAGGGAUGAUGGUAGGUGGUCAGAGGGGAAUUGUGAUUGGGAACUGGAAUGUUCCCAGUGCUCCCAGUUCAGAACUUGUGGAAGACAUUGAAGGUUGGACACAGGUGAAGGUGUGGUGGUAGAACCAGGUGGCACAGGGACAGGUGUGGGGGUGGAACAGGUGGCAGAGGGACAGAACAGUGCCCAAAGUGCUGCUGGCAGGAGCCUGGGAGGACACAGGGGCGCUCCCAGCGCUCCCAGUUUAGGGCAUGUGGGAGUCUCUGAGGGGCAGAGUGGGGAUGAACACAAGCACAGGUGUGCUGGACACAGGUACAGGUGUGGUAGACGCAGCUACAGGCAUGGUGGACAUGGGUACAGGUGUGGUGCUGGAACAGGUGACACAGGGACAGAUGCAGUGACAGAACCAGGUGGCACAGGGACAGGUGCGGUGACAGAACCAGGUGGCACAGGGACAGGUGUGGUGACAGAACCAGGCUGCAGAGAGACAGAGCAGUGCCCAAAGUGCUGUGGCAGGAGCCGGGACG
rnacentral:lncRNA from 1 species